rnacentral:rRNA from 1 species
AGUGAACGCUGGCGGUAGGCCUAACACAUGCAAGUCGAACGGCAGCACAGUAAGAGCUUGCUCUCACGGGGGGCGAGUGGCGUACGGGUGAGGAAUACAGCGGAAUCUACUUUUUGGUGGGGGAUAACGUAGGGAAACUUACGCUAAUACCGCAAACGACCUACGGGUGAAAGUAGGUGAGCUUUGGACCAUGCGCGAUUGAAUGAGCCGAUGUCGGAUUAGCUAGUUGGCGGGGUAAAGGCCCACCAAGGCGACGAUCCUUAGCUGGUCUGAGGGGAUGAUGCGCCACACUGGAACUGAGACACGAUCCAGCCCCCUGCGGGGACGAACGGUGGGAACUAUUGGACAGGGGGCGCAAGCCUGCUCCAACCCGACCACGUAGGAGAAGAAAGUUUCGGGGUUGUAAAGCCCUUUUGUUGGGAAAGACAAGCAGCAGGUUAUUACCCCGCUGUUCUGACGGUACCCAAAGAAUAAGCACCGGCUAACUUCGUG